AGAGUAUUAUUACAGUGCAUCAGUUUCCUUAGCUCAAAGUGAUACCUCAGUAGGCUGAACUUCAAUUCUCAUAAUUUUCAACUCUCAUAAGUCUUGAUGUCCACCAUAUCUGGAUUGCACACAAAAAAGGACUAACUCCUAGGACAGGAAAAACAGAAGACCUGGGAUCAAAUUAACCCACUAAAACAGGAAAACAAAACCCAGGGCAAUCAGAAACACAUCAAAACCCAUCAAGCUGCAGGAGUUUCAAAGGCGAAUUAAGCAUAAAAGGCUUAGAGUCACACUUCCAAGUUUGCUUGCAAGUCAGGAACGUUCUAGCUGCGUCACUACUUUUCUUGCCUUCCUGAAUUAAAGGAUCCCUUUUCUGGCAGCUACUUCCAUGUCUACUUCUUCACGGCAUCGCUAGCUGCUUCCCAGCUGGGAAUGAACUCAGGAAAUUUUCUUCCAACAAAGGGACCCAUAAUAUCUCACUGCUAAGGAACUAAUAUGGAAGAAAUAUAAGGAUUCCAACGAAUACAGUUUGGGAAGUACUGCAUUAAGAUGUUUCACUUAUGAAAGAGAACAAAUUGAAAAACAAAAAUAUGAACGAGUGAAUGAAUUGAGAGAAAGGAGAAGUGUGAGAAAGUCAUGGCUGGAUAAAGUUGAUGAGACCCUCAACCAGAAAGAGGCAAGUUGAAAGAAAAGAUAAUAUAUUAGGCAUGGAUGUGACGGAAGCAAAGAUAGUUUACAAUACUGUUAUUCAGCCUGAUCAACUUUCAAGAUAUGUGGACUGGGGAAUUCUGGGAAUUGAAGUCUGUUGCUGAAGUUGAGAAAAGCUUGUUCAUAAGAAUGAAAGCACAGGCACUAUUGCAGUGAAUGGUGUUGGUGUAAAUGAGAUAUCGUUGUAUUUUUCCUUUCCAUAUACCAUGCCUUUAAUUUCUCAUAGUAUUCCUUAAUUGUUUUCUCCACUUUGCAUAUCAUCACUUCCACAAAGGAAAACAGAUGAUGUGUAUGGAAGGUUGUACUCUGACUGCAUAGAGAACUUAUUCAUAAUCUGCGGCUCAUCUCUACAGACAUUACUUUGCCAACGUAGGCACUCUCAGCUCAAAUAUUUGGGAAAUGGCCAGAAGAUGCAGCUGGAAAUGAUUUAUAUGGAAAAAUAGGGCCUAAUCCUACUGCAAGCCAAGUUUGCAUGGCCUAUUUCAUGAAGUUGAGUUUCAGUCUGAUUUUGGUUCAAUAGGAUAAAUAAAUAAAGUGAAAUAUAGAACAUAGAAGGCAGAAUAACAAGGUUGGAAGGGACCUUGGAAGUCUUCUAGUCCAACCACCUGCUCCACCAGAAGAUCUUAUAUCAUUCCAGAAAAACAAUUGUCCAAUAUCUUCUUGAAAACCUCCAGUGAUUGAGAAUUGAGCAGACUGGAGGCAAGCUAUUUCACUGAUUAAUUUUUUCUCACUGUCAGAAAAUUUCUUCUUAGUUCUAGGUUGAAUCUCUCUUUAAUGAUCAUCUACCCAUUACUUCUAGCCCUGCCCAUGGGUGCUUUGGAGAAUAGGUUAACCUCCUCUUCUCUGUGACAGUCCCUCAAGUACUGGAAGAUUGCUAUCAUGUCAUCUCUAAUUCACAAAUCCGCUCCUUGAUUAUGUUUUGCAGGGUUUUCCCAGAUAUUGAUGUCAGGCUAAUUGCUCCAUAGUUGCCUGGAUCUACUCCUCCUCCACCCAUUUUUGGAAGAUUGGAACAAUAUCAUCUCUUUGCCAGUCCCCUGACACUUCCUUGUGCUCCAGGAGGUCUGAAAGAUUUUGUUCAGUGGUUCUGAGAGCACAUCUGUCAAUGUUAUUUUAGAUGUUAAAUUCACCUUUUCAUCCAGGUGUAAUGCAUGAACAUGGAGGAGAUUUUAUUGAAUGGUUUAAACAAGUGGUGAAAUCCUCUGAAGUCUGCUACCAGUUUGAUGAGUCUGCUACUGAGAGCGCACAAGUGCGGCUGUGGCGCACCAGCACAGUGCUAAAAAAAGGAACAUUUUGAAGAUUUCCAAGUCUGCAAAGGUUCAGAAUAUCAUCAACCCAGAGCUGGAGAACUUUGAGGAUCCUUUCAGUUUAUUAGCAUCUGAUUAUGAAAAGUUACAUCUUGGCUAGCUCUUGGGGAAGAGAAUAGUUUGUCCCACGAAUUGCUGAAUCUCAUAAACUGCCAUUUUGUUCCAAACUAAUACAAGGUACUUAUAUUCAUAUUUCCAGUCCUAUAGAAUUUAGGAUCUAGAUAUAAAAAUAUUGCUUUCUCCUUUAGGUACCAACCCCAUCAGUGAUUGGUAGCAGGAAUGUACUCUCGAUGGUGUCACAUUUAUGAAGAAAGUGUCUUGCAUCAAGCUGAAAGAGGAGAGCCUCAGUGUAGGUGCCUUGGUUGUGGACUUCCUUCCCUGUUCAAUUAUGGCUAAUGACAAACCUCCUAUGUGUUUGUAGCUAGCUACAAGGUUUUUAACUGAAUCUUGUUUAACAUUUUUCAUUGCCUUGAAUUUAAUAUUUAUGAGGUAAAAUUGGUACAGGUCAGUUUUGGCAUUUGGAUCAGUACGCCACAAACUCAUUCAAAACCUCAUUUUAUCUCAACCAUGCUCAAACUAUUUUAUACAACUUGGGUUUUUAAAUGUAGAAACUGUCUUGCAAGCUAGCAUAUGAUAACCCACCUUCCACCAACCAGGAGCGAUGUGCAACAAUCCUUCAAAUCAUAAAUUGUAUCAAUAAUGUGAUUUUAAAAAUUGUUCAUCUUUGUAUUAGCAGGCAGACACAUCCAAAACCAGACAGCUUCCAACUCAGGCACCAAAUCUGGUGCACAGACGCUUGUCUUUUAUGUCACCACAUCAGUAGAUCUUUGUUGAUGUGGUUUGCGCCUGUUAGAAUCACAUAUAGGCUAAGUAACUUAGUUGUGAAGUAACCUAAAUGAAGCCACAUGAUAAUUUAUUAUUCAAAUAUUGAUUUAUACGCUAUUUUGAGGGAGGUAUUUGUGUUACUGUUUCUUUACAUCAGAAAUAGGAAGUUGGAUUUUGCCCCUGGGCUAAAUUGUCCCAGAUCCAUCUCAAGGGGCUGGUUGGAAUAGUAAAGUUCAGAUCUGGAGGAAGUUUCUCGCGUUUAGAAAAAAGACACUUUUUAAAAUUUGUAGGAAUCAGUCCAGACAAUUGCCAGGAAUCAAGACUAACCUGAAGGCCCCAAAAAGAAAACAAACAAAUAAACCUGGUUGGUUAUCCUUACAAUAGCAGAAAUCUUUAUGCAUUUACCCAGUCCUGUCUUACCUUCAUUCAGAAAAUAGCAACUAGAUGACCUUGGCUUAUCUUGCAAUUGCUAAGAAAAUUAGUAUAUUAUCCAAUCUAGGAGGAUGAAAAAAUGUCCUGAAGGAAGGAAUGGCAACUACUUUUAUGUUGUUAUUGCCAGGGAAACAAGAUGGAUUGUUGCGAAUAAUGCAAUCCUAGCAAUAAGUUCCAUUCUUUAUUUAAGACAGGAAGCUGACACAAGAGAUCGGCAUGCAUAUAUUUGCAUGUCUAUCUCUUUCAUUGCUGACGUAUCAAUCAUUGCUUCACUGAAUCGAGCCACCAAACAUAAAAUCACUAUAAGAUGGCAAUCCUCCAUUACUUACACAUUUUUUUUAAAAAAAAAGUUGUAUGUAUCUUCAUAAUUUAUUUAUUAUGCCACAAAGUCAUUCUAAUAAUUACUCUUCCGGUUUUGCUCAUCAAAUGAGGGAAGAGUCCAAUGAGCAUAAACAUUACAGAGCAAAGAAUAAUAUAAUAUUAUUGUUUUAUCUGAUUUCCAAAACCAAUGCCAUAUGAAGAUAAGUGUAAGUACCAGCAGGGGGUGGUAAACAGUGUUAAAAUGGAAGGUACAACUUGAAAACCCAGCCAAUCCCUAUAUUUUACAUCCAUGUGAUGAUAUAUGUUAAAAAGGAAUGGGGCUUCAAUCGCUAACUAUGGUGUUCACCAUUUCUAUUUCCUCUGACUUCCUAAGUAUAGAAUAGCUACUUUUGCAGAACACACCAUUGUAAUAUCUAUCAAUAUAAUUUAUCAAUCAUUAUCAUCACCACCUCCUUCAUCCAUCAUCUUGUUGAGAGUUCCCUUCUUUUUAGCUACUAGUUAGGAGCAGCAGCUGCCUUUUUAUCUCAAAAAGAUGUCAUCUGAGACCCUCUCUUCAGCAUAUGAGUUUUAUCCUGUAACAGUAGGCAAAUUUACUGCAUAUGUACAUGUAAAAAAAAAAGAGAAAGGAAAUGAG